rnacentral:rRNA from 1 species
GUCCAGACUCCUACGGGAGGCAGCAGUGGGGAAUAUUGCACAAUGGGGGAAACCCUGAUGCAGCGACGCCGCGUGAGUGAAGAAGUAUUUCGGUAUGUAAAGCUCUCUCAGCAGGGAAGAAAAUGACGGUACCUGAUUAAGAAGCCCCGGCUAACUACGUGCCAGCAGCCGCGGUAAUACGUAGGGGGCAAGCGUUAUCCGGAUUUACUGGGUGUAAAGGGAGCGUAGACGGCAGCACAAGUCUGGAGUGAAAUGCCGGGGCUUAACCCCGGAACUGCUUUGGAAACUGUGCAGCUAGAGUGCAGGAGAGGUAAGUGGAAUUCCUAGUGUAGCGGUGAAAUGCGUAGAUAUCAGGAGGAACACCGGUGGCGAAGGCG